rnacentral:tRNA from 1 species
AGCGACAUGGCGCAGAGGAAGCGCACGGGGCUCAUAACCCCGGGGUCACUGGAUCGAAACCAGUUGUCGCUA